rnacentral:tRNA from 1 species
CGGGGUGUAGCUCAGCCUGGGAGAGCGGCUGGUUCGGAUCCAGCAGGUCGUCGGUUCAAAUCCGGCCACCCCGACCA